ensembl:rRNA 5S_rRNA 5S ribosomal RNA
GUCUACUGCCAUACCAUCCUGAAAGCACAUGAUCCCGUCAGAUCUCAAAUGCAAUCAAGGGUAGGGCUUGUUCAGUACCAGUGUGGGUGACUGACUGGGAAUAGCAAGUGCUGUAGUAA